UGCUCUACAAAUUGUAAUUUAGCUUUACACUCAACUGGAUAUACUAACCACACAGUUGGUGGUCCAGCUGGUUGGUUCUACAACAUUGCCACUAAAAAAGCUUCAUCCGAUUACUCGUGGGCUGCUAAACAGACUUUCAAUCUUGGUGAUGUUUGAGUAAAAAUGUAGUAGAGCGCACAUUUGGCGUUUGGAAAGCAAGAUGGUCUAUUUUGAGAGACAUGCCAUACUAUCACAUUGACACACAAAGGGACAUCGUACUUGCUACUAUGGCCAUUCACAAUUAUAUUAGAAAGAAAUGCAAUGUGGAUGAUGCAUUCCAAAUGUACCGAGAAUGAGAGCUAUAUUCCAUCGGUUGAUUCUAAUGAUAUUGACACAACUUCAAGAGCUAACAAUGUAGAUGUCGAAGAUGUAGGAGAACAAAAUGAUGUCUAUUGGAUGGGGUUUCGUGAUAUGAUUGCUAGUGACAUUUCUAAUGCUUGAUGCUUGUAUUAUAUGAAUAUUUUCCACUUCUUGUAUUUAUAGUGGAGUGCUUUCGGUUGUAUUAGCACUUUUAUUAAGUACAUCUUAUGCCUGUUGCAAGCUUAUAGUUAUAGUGUUA